rnacentral:misc_RNA from 1 species
UUCUCUUCACUCUGUUUUCUAGAAGGCUCUCUGUUUCUCUCUACCAGUGAAGAGGUUCCAUCUGCAACUCAGCUACCAGUUGCUUCUUCAUUUUUGCAUAAGACAAGUAUUUGUUGUCUUCAAACAUCAUUUUUCUUUCUAUUUUCAAACUUAUUGAUUUUGGGUUUUGUUGCUACUCCCUUUGUUACUAUAUAAUUUAGCAGUUUGUCUCUUUUUUUUUUCUUUCAAAG